rnacentral:rRNA from 1 species
AAAGGAGGGGAAUCGCGUCUGAUUAGCUAGUUCGGAGGGGUAACGGCCCACCAAGGCGAAGAUCAGUAGCCGGUCUGAGAGGAUGAAACGGCCACAUUCGGGACUGAGAACACGGCCCAGAACUCCUACGGGAGGCAGCAGUGAGGAAAUAUUCGGUCAAUGGACGGAAGUCUGAAACCAGCCAAGUAGCGUGCAGGAAGAACGGCCCUAUGGGUUCGUAAACUGCUUUUGUAUGGGGAAUAAAGUCAAUCACGUGUGAUUGUUUUGCAGGUACCAUACGAAUAAGGACCGGCUAAUUCCGUGCCAGCCAGCGCGGUAAUACGGAAAGGUUCGGGCGUUUAUCCGGAUUUAUUUGGGUUUAAAGGGAGCGUAGGCCGGAGAUUAAGUGUGUUGUGAAAUGUAGACGCUCAACGUCUGACUUGCAGCGCAUACUGGUUUCCUUGAGUACGCACAACGUUGGCGGAAUUCGUCGUGUAGCGGUGAAAUGCUUAGAUAUGACGAAGAACUCUGAUUGCGAAGGCAGCUGACGGGAGCGCAACUGACGCUUAAGCUCGAAGGUGCGGGUAUCGAACAGGAUUAGAUACCCUGGUAGUCCGCACAGUAAACGAUGGAUGCCCGCUGUUGGUACCUGGUAUCAGCGGCUAAGCGAAAGCAUUAAGCAUCCCACCUGGGGAGUACGCCGGCAACGGUGAAACUCAAAGGAAUUGACGGGGGCCCGCACAAGCGGAGGAACAUGUGGUUUAAUUCGAUGAUACGCGAGGAACCUUACCCGGGCUUGAAUUGCAGAGGAAGGAUUUAGAGAUAAUGACGCCCUUCGGGGCCUCUGUGAAGGUGCUGCAUGGUUGUCGUCAGCUCGUGCCGUGAGGUGUCGGCUUAAGUGCCAUAACGAGCGCAACCCCUCUCUUCAGUUGCCAUCAGGUAAUGCUGGGCACUCUGGAGACACUGCCACCGUAAGGUGUGAGGAAGGUGGGGAUGACGUCAAAUCAGCACGGCCCUUACGUCCGGGGCUACACACGUGUUACAAUGGCCGGUACAGAGGGAUGGUGUAAUGCAAAUUGCAUCAAAUCUUGAAAGCCGGUCCCAGUUCGGACUGGGGUCUGCAACCCGACCCCACGAAGCUGGAUUCGCUAGUAAUCGCGCAUCAGCCAUGGCGCGGUGAAUACGUUCCCGGGCCUUGUACACACCGCCCGUC